rnacentral:rRNA from 1 species
AUUGAACGCUAGCUACAGGCUUAACACAUGCAAGUCGAGGGACCGGCGCACGGGUGAGUAACACGUAUCCACCUUGCCUUUUACUCGGGGAUAGCCUUUCGAAGGAAAGAUUAAUACCCGAUAUAAAGAAUGGGGAUGGGUUCCUUUAGGUUGUUGGUGAGGUAACGGCUAACAAAGCCUUCGAUGGAUAGGGGUUCUGAGAGGAAGGUCCCCCACAUUGGAACUGUGACACGGUCCAAACGCCUACGGGAGGCAGCAGUGAGGAAUAUUGGUCAAUGGGCGGUAGCCUGAACCAGCCAAGUAGCGUGAAGGAUGAAGGCUUAUGGGUCGUAAACUUCUUUUAUAUAAGAAUAUGUAUUAUAUGAAUAAGGAUCGGCUAACUCCGUGCCAGCAGCCGCGGUAAUAC